rnacentral:lncRNA from 1 species
GCUUCUGCAAAUCGUUCUUCUUGCCCUCAGAUUACCAGACACGACGCAGCUGGACUUGUCUCAUGCCUGCGAUAGGGACGGCCCCCACCCUGACUUGCAUGGAACAGUCGACAUAAUGUGGCCUACUGCUUCCACCUGAGCGCCCCGCCAGGCUGUAAUUCCGCGGGCCCACGUGACCUCCGGGGCCGCGCCUUCCGGACGCAACUCCACUGGGGCGGAAGUUGGUUUUGUGCGGCUCUCAAGAACUAAGUUUGUGCUGUGCUGCGGGAUCCCCAGGGAGCUUCCUUAUAUCUUCGGCAGGACCCCUUCUUUUUUUCUUGAAGAUUGAUUUUGCUAGAAGUUAUCCUGUGAUGGGACUCCCUAGGGGAAUGGAGGCACCACGUGGUUAAGGAGUUUGUGCGUUGCCGCCCACAUAGUGUGGGCAGCUGAGGCGCCGCCCGGAUCAGAGCCGCAGGGCGUCUACUCUGUCACUUUCCCAACCUGACUUUUCCGGAUUGCUAUUUCAGACGGCGGUUGCAGCAGCCGACCUGUCUCAACUCCACCACUGUAGUCAGAGAAUCAAAAGCGGUCUGAGUUGCGAGGUCAUUGGGGAGGCCCCCACCCCCACAUUACCAGUGAGGAAACUGAGACUUAAAAAAGUGACCUGACCUGGACACGGGAUUGCCUGACAUCAGAGCUGGAUUCUUAAGUUCCUGUUAGUGUUAAGGCGCUGCUCAGACUUUUAGUAAAGGUGAGCGCCAUCUACUGCCAAGUCUCACAAAAUAUUCGCAAAAUUUGAUACGGUUAU